ACCGUCCAAUCAGGGCGGUGGUGGCCACGCCCACCUUCGUGGACGCCGCUGGCUGCCCACGUCCCGCGAGUUCACCUACCCGUCUUGGCCCCAGGUGUGCAGUCGCGUGGCUCUCACCUGCCCGGGCGGCGGAGCGGGGCUGCGAGAUGCUGAGUGUGCGGGGCCGGGGCCCGGACGAACCGGCGGAAUCGGAAACUGAGGAGCUCGAACAGCUGAAGGCGGUGGAAGGAUCCAGAAGUGCUUUGAGGAGAGGCUCCUUACAAAAAAUACUAAGACAGUUCUUGGCAGUGGAGGCAAUCAUUCCUGGAAGGUCAUUCAAAUCCACAUGAACAAAGGACACUGGUGAAGUACUGAAGUGUACAUGUCACAAGGCCACGUAGGGGGACAGCUAUGCAGGAGCAGCGUUUCUGCAUCUCACUGGAAAGCAAUGAUCACACAUCUGUUGCCAACGUCCUUAGAUGUAUAAGGUAAAAGACAAUCGAUUUUUUUUAAACCCAAAGA